ACGAACGCUGGCGGCGUGCUUCACACAUGCCAGUCGAACGGAAAGGCCCUGCUUUUGUGGGGUGCUCGAGUGGCGAACGGGUGAGAACACGUGAGUAACCUGCCCUUGACUUUGGGAUAACUUCAGGAAACUGGGGCUAAUACCGGAUAGGAGCUCCUGCUGCAUGGUGGGGGUUGGAAAGUUUCGGCGGUUGGGGAUGGACUCGCGGCUUAUCAGCUUGUUGGUGGGGUAGUGGCUUACCAAGGCUUUGACGGGUAGCCGGCCUGAGAGGGUGACCGGCCACAUUGGGACUGAGAUACGGCCCAGACUCCUACGGGAGGCAGCAGUGGGGAAUAUUGCACAAUGGGCGGAAGCCUGAUGCAGCAACGCCGCGUGCGGGAUGACGGCCUUCGGGUUGUAAACCGCUUUCGCCUGUGACGAAGCGUGAGUGACGGUAAUGGGUAAAGAAGCACCGGCUAACUACGUG
rnacentral:rRNA from 1 species